UGUGUAUAUGUCAUUUAAUAUAUGCAAAGUCAUAUUCCACCCUUCUAAAUGCAAAAUAUCUGACCUCAUACAUGGCACGUGGGCAUUACAAACUGACCUGCUGAACUCACAGUCAGUACAUUUUGAACACAGACUGCUAGACAUGAGAAAACUCUACUCUCAGUACUUGUCAAUUGUAGAUAAGUGAUUCAAUGAUGCACAUUUUUGACAUUGUUCACAGUUAGUCUAAAUCUAACCCUAGGCAAUGUUACAGAAAUGCCACAAAAUACACUUUUACUUUGCAGUGCUCUCUUCCGAUAUAUUUUGUAAAAAAAAAUUCCAACAAUAUUAUAAGUGUUUACUGUCCAAAGCUAUAGUGUACAGUAAACUUUACUGUCCAAAGCUAUAGUGAUACCUUCCCCCUUAAUGUUAUGCAGGCUGAAAUCACAAACAUUGUAUAUUUCCCAUUCAUUUAUAUGUGGAAAUGUCUAUAUUUUUACUUAUAUUGUCAUAAAUGUCAAAAGUAGUAUUUGUCAUGUAGAUAUGUGAUUCAGUGAUGUAAUGAUGUAAAUGUUUUUUUGAUAUUGUUCAUAGUUUGACUAAACCUGACCCUAGGCAGUGUUACAGAAAUGCCACAGAAACUUAUUAUUAGUUCAUAUGUCUCCUUUAGAAACACAUCCUCUGAAUUUCUCCUAGAUGAAAUGAAGUAUCAUACAAUUUUGUUCAAAACUGUGGUGAUCAUUUGUUUUUUUUGGUGUUAUACAAGUAGAAUAAUAGCAAAAAUAAGGGACGUUACCAAAAUGCCACAAUAGAUUACCGUAAAACUCCAAAUAAUAGCCCGGGCUUUUAUUUUCCCAAAUCGCCAAACUGCACCGGCUAGUAUUAGAGACAGGCGUCUAUAUGAGACAGGCCUUUAAUUCCCUUUACACAAAACUUUUCCUAAUAUUAUCGAAUUAAUUAUUUAUAACACACUUAAUGUCUACCUAUAUGACUAGGCUGUCUGAUGACAAUUACAGAUCAUCAUUCAUUUAUUGUUGAGAUGUUGUUCAUUGAGUGAGAUACAGUAAGAUCCA